GGCCAGAUGGCCGAGCGGUCUAAGGCGCCACGUUAAGGUGAAAAUCUUGAUAUCAAUUAACUCCACAUUCGCUAGGAUGUGAGAAGUUCCGUGGUCUCGUAAGGGGCGUGAGUUCGAAUCUCACUCUGGUCA